UACUCGACUCACUCCCUCACAUUCAUCUUCAUUCUCCACUCGCAAAAGACCGCCCCCUUCUUCUCAACCCUGUUUCGCCGCUCAAGCCUCAACCGCCAACUUCUCUCCAGAUCUCCAGUAACAAGAUGUUUGAGGCAGCAGGCGAGAACGAUGAUUUGAUUGACUUGGACUUACAAGAAGAUGUCUCAGCAAGUUGUCAAAAUGAGGGAGGGAAGGCAAAACGAAGGAAACGAUCAAAUGUGUGGAAUUUCUUUGAGAUGCUUCUUGAUUAUGAAAACGAUGAUGAUGGUAACAUCGACAAGCUUUGUGCCAAGUGCAAAAUGUGUGGACAAACAUAUUUCGUAGCGAGCAAAUAUGGAACCAGAAAUUUGAAGCAUCACAUAGGCUCAUGCCCUAAAAGAAGUUCAUGAGAUAUUAGUCAAUUGAUGUUGGCACAAAAUAGUGGAUCUUUGUUGAAACACAAGAAAUGAAGUUGGAUGAGCUAAUUGAAAAUGUUAUGGAGUUGGAUAUCAGCAAGACGAAGGAGGACGCUUCAAUUCCUUCUAUAAAUCAUUCAAAAGCUUA